rnacentral:lncRNA from 1 species
CACGUGGGACUGGUUUUGCUGUUGUUAGGUUGUAUAACACAAAUGAAAAAUUGAAAAUCAUUUUCAAGUUUGGCAUAAUCUUAAUUAUGUUUUUUUUUUUUUUUUCGACUGAAUGAUUACCAUAGAAUAAACCAAGGAGAAUUACAAGGUGGAAUACAAUUUGAAACACAGGACCGAUACUUUUUUUCUUUAAGACCGCAUGACUUCCGACGUCCGCCUAGACGCUAUUAAACGUCGACGGGGUUCUUGUAAACAUCGAUCGGAGUUUUUGUAAACGUCUCGGACCAUGACCAUCAUCUACUGUCCAUACGCGGCUUAUAGGAGUAUCUAGUUGGUAUUUUAGAACAUUGUCUCGUAUAGUCUUUAUAUCUUCGAAGCUAAGUAAAAAUGAAAUCCAUUACCCCUAUAUAUGAAUCAGAUUGGUGCGCUAGAUAUUUCAGCUCAAUGGGGUAACAAAGCAAACACUUUACCUCAUUUUUCAAUAACUCCGGUCUUAAUUUAGCUAGCUACGACGCACUGUUCACAUGAAUUUAUUACAGAUAUACUUCGAAAUCUUGUUAUUCAGAUCGAUCAUGUGUCUGAUCGCCAUGCUGUAUAUAUUGGCUUACUACUCUAUCGUGAUAGGCUAAUACUGAGACGGCGCAAGACAGACUGCCACGUGAUCGCCAUGCUCUUUGUAUGCAGAAGGCCCAUCACAUAAAUUACUCACAAGUUAGUUUUAGUCUUAGAUCACUUUCACCGAUUUCGGUGAGCAAAUAUCUCGAAGAAAAGGACCUCAUCUCCAUUAAAGUAUGGCAUUGUUUUAGAUUCUCAAAUAUGUUUCCAUUUAUCCGACUUUUUAUUUAAGUUAUUGGAAAACCCUUUAUGUGAUUGAUAUAGGACAUGAUCUUCUCGAGUCUACAAUAAAAAUCCAACUCUCUUUCUUUUGCUUAGUGCAAUAAUAUAUUUAUUAAGCUUUUAAAGCAUAUAUAUGGAGUUAGUAGAUAAGGAAAGGGGAGGGUGUAAAGUUGUUAGAAAUCAAGAAAUGGUCGUUUGCUUUUUGAUGUGAUGAAUUUGGACUAAGUCCAUAGAAGAUGAUCGGCUAUUCCCCUAUCAUACUAUACAUGCAUACACUAUAAAAGUAAUGCCACACACCUAAUUUGUGGGUUCCCCAUCCCCUUGUAUAUAUGUUCAUAAAUUCAUUUCGACAUGUAUAUAUGUAGAUGUUGACACUUGAUUCGGGGUGUUAAGUUGGAGAUAAUUAUAUUAAAUAUAUAUUCACUAUACAAAAGUAUAGAUAUAUAUACACACAUAUAGCCAAUUUCUUUCAUUAAACUGGAGAAUUGAUCUCUGCACGUAUAUGUAUCUAACUAUCUAUUUUUAAGUGUUGUUAGUUGUUACUAUAACAUAUCUAUAUAAACAUGUAUAUUAAUUAAUUUGUAUAUGGGGGAGUUCUUAAUUAGAAUUAGAAACAUAUCAUCGAUGUAGAAAUUUAUAGAUGGAACCAUAAUGAGGGGAGAUCCAAUGGUCAUGACUCAUGAUCACAUGAUGGGAUCCUAAUUCCUACAUCUCUUCUAUAUGAUGGGUUAUAUAUUCUCCAUAUAUGCAUAUGGGGGAAUUAGACGUAUAUAUAAAGAAGAGUUUUUUUUUUUUUUUUGGUUUAAAAUAAAGAAGAGUUGUGAAGUUUAUAAACUUGCAUGUAUUUUAAAAAUAUACAGUUUUCUUAAGAAGUUUUUUUUUUUUUGGUGGGAAGAAGUUUUUUUUUUGUCAAAAGAAGAAGUGUUUUAUCUCUUUAACAUCCAAGAAGUGUUUAUAUUUUAUUAUUUUCUAUGAAAAUAUACAUAAUAUCUUAUAAUGUAUUGUUAUUAGUUAUUAUUCUAUAAAUGAUUUAAUAAUAAAAUAAAAGAUUUCAUGUUGCAAAAAGUAAGGAAAAAAAGCAUGUUUUGAAAGCUUCAUUUGAAAUAAACAGAUAAGGUGAGUUUUAGCCAAAAAAAAAAAAAAAGAAAGAAAGAAAAGAUAAUAGUAUGAGUGUUUUUUGUCUGAUGUAGGCUCAUCGGGGACUGCUCCAACUCCCUGACAGUUAUCAUUUUUCAUUAUUCAACUAUCAAUUGAAUUAUAUGGGCUUCCCUACUUUUGUUUGUACCUAAACAAUUCAAAAUCAUACAGAAACUAAAAUAUGCAUUUAUAUAUUUAAAUCUAAACUACAGGAAUGUAAGAGCAUGAUUAUUGGUAGUAUCUUAGAAAUAAAUCUUAGGAAUAUUGGUAAUAUAUUUAAGUAGUAUUUUUGGUUAAGAUUUUUGUGUGAUUAAUGGUAGGUUCUUAACAUGUGGUUCUUAUAAAAAAAAAAUAUUAAUAUAAAAAUAAAAUUUAUAAUUAUAGAAAAUUUAAUAAUUGUUGCAAAUUAAAAAAAUUAAAACAAUACAUAGAUACAAUUUAUAACAUAAAUAACAUAAAACACAAAAAAAAAAAUUCUUCUUUUGUUUGAUUUUUUAACCAAUCACAAUGUGACACCUUGCAACAUCUUAAGUUAAGAAAAACAUCUUAACUUAGAUACAAAUCUUAACUUUAAGAUGUUGGUUUGAUUAUUUUUAAUCAACUUUAAUCCUAAGAUUUGUCUAAGAUACUCAACAUUUCAACCAAUAUUCAUGCUCUAACAAACAAUUCCUGUAGUUCUUUAACAAUAACCUAGGCGGCAGACACUAUACAGAGCUAGAUGACUCAACAAACAAUCAAAAACCUCUAGAAAAACCAAUGUUGUGUUUUUUCAAACACAUUCUAGUAUUAGUUGUUAUAUAAGUUGGAAUGUAGAAAACGGUGAUUGCACUGAUUGGUUAGAGAACUUGGAAACAGAAACAAAGGUGACUGAGUUCUAACUUCUAAGUUAGGUAAUUAAACAGUCCACAACGUCGUUAGCUAUUAUAUUCUAUUUAGUGAGCUAUUUAAGAUAAAAGGCAUAAAUCGAUAUGCUUACAACAAUCUGUUUGCUUAUAGCUUGGAUCAAAUCCUUAAUUAGAGAAUAUGAGUGGCUAUUUAUAGACUUACAUUUCGUUAAAUUUUUUAUCAAAACUAAAAAUGUUUUGGUUUUUAAAGGUGAUGUUGUAAAAGAUAUCUUGUAAACCAAAAGGGGAAGCAGUUUACCUGUUAGUCCAGUAAUAGGCGAUCUGGCUAUCCCUGACUUUAGUCGGAAAGCAUUCCAAACUCGGGACAGACAAUGUGGUGGUCCUUCGGGGAGUAGUCAACUCUGAAGCACUUCGGUGCGUUUCUACCGAGGCUAACCGGAUCAGCCGAUA